UACGUAGGGCGCAAGCGUUGUCCGGAAUUAUUGGGCGUAAAGAGCUCGUAGGCGGUUUGUCGCGUCUGCUGUGAAACCUAAGGCUCAACCUUGGGCUUGCAGUGGGUACGGGCAGACUAGAGUGCGGUAGGGGUGACUGGAAUUCCUGGUGAUAGCGGUGGAAUGCGCAGAUAUCAGGAGGAACACCCGAUGGCGAAGGCAGGUCACUGGGGCCGC
rnacentral:rRNA from 1 species